rnacentral:lncRNA from 1 species
AUCGUAAUGGAGUAUAGAUCCAAAUCACCAACCUCUUUUUACCAUUCUACAAGGAAACCCCCCACCACAGACAAUGUCGUCUCCACUCUCACAAACAAGUUCAUAAAAUAGAGGAACCUUGUAUAUGGUUCUGUCUUCUGUCUGGUUUAGCUUUUAACUGUUCCAAACCCUAGCAAGCAAAGGAUACCAAAGAGCAUUACCACAGUCUGUGGUGUUUCCGAAGUUGUGAGAAUCCGAAACGGCGCACGACUCUUUUCUUGACUGAGUCGGCGACGGAUUAUGAAGGGAACCGCCACGAGUCGCGGCUACGGUCGAACUGAAAAGAAAGUCCCAACAAUUGGGCCAGGCUAAAAAGGCCCAAUAUAAUCAAAUACUUAAAAAAAAAAAAAAAGUCCAACAAAUAUCAAUCAAAUCAAAUCUCCC